CUGACCUAGAACUCAUUGUGUAGACAAGGCUGACCUCGAACUCACAAAUCCUUCUCCUUCGCUCUCCUUCCCUAGUGCCAGGACUAAAGGUGUAUAGCACCAUAUCCAGCUAUAUAGCUCCAUAUAGCUCCAGGACUGUUAUUAAAGCACUGACUCUCUUUCGUAGAGGACUUCAUCUCACUGACACUCCUCACAGGCUAUCUUUACAAAUGAGAAAACAAAGAGGUAAUGUAUCUUCCAUCCAUGGGAACAUCUGUAUUCAACCCCCUCCCCCAUAUAUCUGACUUAUAAGUAAAAAACUCACGAGACCAGGGGCUACACUAUCUAGCUUGGAUUGCUAGCUAUCUCAGGAGACCUUGGCACUGAAGGUACUUAAGAGAGUUAUUACGUGAGUACAUGAACAUUAGAGCAGGAGGAAAACAGGUAAUGGAAGAAAGUACUAGGACAGUCCACAGGCAAGCAAUCACAAGACAAGUGAAUAGCAAUAGCAGGGGUAAAAACAGCUGUUGGGUGGUCCCGGCUUGCUUAUAAAAGGGAUGGUUUGGUCUCAGAUCCUCAGACCUUUCUCCCCAUCUCACCUCCACAUGUUUCUGACCGGCCUCUUCUCUUUCUGUCUGUCCUUCUCUGUCCCCUCUUUCUUCACCUCUACUUCCUUCUCAACUCCCUUCCCAUGCCCCCAAAUAAACUUUAUUCUAUACUAGACCCACUGUAUGGCUGGUACUUUGGUGGGGAGAGAUGCCCACUGAGGUACCACCUCCCACCACAUCUUACUGCGCUCUUCAAAACAUAUCCUUCGUCUUUAUAAAAACAUUAUCAGUCUGAGCUAUAAUGAGAAACCUAUCUGAAUGAAACCAACAAAGUAAAAACGCUCAAUGUAAAAAUGCUAGCCUAGCAUGCAGUAAGCUUUCUAAAACAGUUGCUACUGGCGUGGUACCAUGCUAAAUAGCAUCUCACAGAAGCCUAACAACAGCGAUGAAAAGUUGCCCAUAAUCUUAUCAUGUUUUGUGAUUUGUAUGUGUGUGUGGUGCUGGUGAUCAAACUUGGGGAUUCACAUAUAACAGGCAAGCAUUUUGCAUAAGUGAACUAUUACUCCUUUUUUUAUACAUUUCAGGAUAAGAGAUGGGAGCAAAGUCAAGUGUUACCAUGAUGCUAGAGAAACACGGGGACUAUUUCUAUCUAGAUCAAAUACACGAUUACUAAGCACUAACUACUACCUGACAAGUCGAAAACUGAGAACUCAGUAAGGGAUGCUAACAGCAAGAUCCAGGAAAACCUUGCCCUCUCUUAGCAUGCAGCAUCACAAGUGUGUAUGUGUGUGUGUGUGGGGGGGGGGGGUCUUGCUUGUUUGUUUUAAAAACUCCUUUAGGCCCCGGACAGGCCCCCACUCCAUCUUUCCCUUUGGUUCCCUACACAACCUAGAUGCUAGCUAGUGUCACUUCCGUGGUGGGGCUGGCUUUCUUCUCAGUACAAGUCCUCAGGUCACCGCCUCAAGUAAUUCCCUCGUCAGACUCACCCCGAUAUGCGGAUAGCUCCAACGUCCUAGCAAAAGAGGAGCCCAAGGCUCAGUUUAAAACUAGGAAAAGAAGUCCCUUCGCUUAUCCACCUUCCGACCUUCCCCGUCGCUGAGUAGCCUCACCUCCCCGCAACUUUCUUUCCACGUGCGUUCUCUACGUCCGCAGUCCCCACCCACCGGAUUUUUGGGAGAUGUAGUCAAAUUGCGGAAAGGAAGGCUCAAAACAAAACAAAACCGAAGCGAGCCUCCCAGCGUCUGGGAACUCUAGUCCGUUGCUACAAAAUGGACAGGAAACAGGAAAUUUAGCCAACCGUAGGAAAUCCAGACUGGGAAAGGCAUGUCGGGA
rnacentral:lncRNA from 1 species